AAGCGUUACUCGGAAUCAUUGGGCGUAAAGGGCGCGUAGGCGGCCUGAUCAGUCAGAUGUGAAAGCUCGGGGCUCAACCCCGGAAGAGCAUUUGAUACUGUCAGGCUUGAGUAUGGGAGAGGAAAGUGGAAUUCCCGGUGUAGAGGUGAAAUUCGUAGAUAUCAGGAGGAACACCGGUGGCGAAGGCGACUUUCUGGACCAAUACUGACGCUGAGGCGCGAAGGCGUGGGGAGC
rnacentral:rRNA from 1 species